rnacentral:rRNA from 1 species
CACGUAGGGCGCAAGCGUUGUCCGGAAUUAUUGGGCGUAAAGAGCUCGUAGGCGGUCUGUUACGUCUGCUGUGAAAACCCGGGGCUUAACCCUGGGCUUGCAGUGGAUACGGGCAGACUAGAGGCAGGUAGGGGAGAAUGGAAUUCCCGGUGUAGCGGUGAAAUGCGCAGAUGUCGGGAGGAACACCGGUGGCGAAGGCGGUUCUCUGGGCCUGACCUGACGCUGAGGAGCGAAAGCGUGGGGAGCGAACAGG